rnacentral:tRNA from 1 species
GCAGUGGUAGUUCAGUGGUAGAAUUCUCAUUUUUCAUGCAGGAGCCUGGGUUCAAUUCCAAGCCAACGCA